rfam:Myotis brandtii contig250841, whole genome shotgun sequence.
AAUCUGGUUGAUCCUGCCAGUAGUCAUAUGCUUGUCUCAGAGAUUAAGCCAUGCAUGUCUAAGUACAUACCUUAAAACGGUGAAACCGCGAAUGGCUCAUUAAAUCAGCUAUGGUUCCUUAGAUCGUACCUACUACAUGGAUAACUGUAGUAAUUCUAGAGCUAAUACAUGCCACUAUGCCCUGACCCGCAAGGGAACGGGUGGAUUUAUUAGAACAGAACCAACCGGUUGUGGUUUCGGCCGCUUCCGUUGCACUCUGUGAUGACUCUGGAUAACUUCACUGAUCGCAGUCGGCCUUGUGUCGGCGACGGAUCUUUCAAAUGUCUGCCCUAUCAAUUUUCGAUGGUAGGUGACCUGCCUACCAUGGUGAUAACGGGUAACGGGGAAUCAGGGUUCGAUUCCGGAGAGGGAGCCUGAGAAACGGCUACCACUUCCAAGGAAGGCAGCAGGCACGCAAAUUACCCAAUCCCGGCACGGGGAGGUAGUGACGAAAAAUACGGAUACGGGACUCGAGAGAGGCUCCGUAAUUCGAAUGAGUACAAUUUAAAUCCUUUAACGAGGAUCAACUGGAGGGCAAGUCUGGUGCCAGCAGCCGCGGUAACUCCAGCUCCAGAAGCGUAUAUUAAAGUUGUUGCAGUUAAAAAGCUCGUAGUUGGAUCUGGGUCGUAUGGCUACGUGCCGUCGCUCGUAUUCUUGGCUUGGUUACGAUCGGGUCAAGUUUGUGGGUCGGUGUCGUGGCUGUGCAGCCUUUCUGCCGUGUCUGUUUCGACAGGUGCCGGCUAAAUCGGUGGGCUUGUCCCGUCGGUUGGUUGGCAUGCUUCCAGAUGCCUUUAAACGGGUGUCGGGGGCGGACGGCAAGUUUACUUUGAACAAAUUUGAGUGCUCAAAGCAGGCCUGUGCCUGAAAAUUCUUGCAUGGAAUAAUGGAAUAGGACUUCGGUUCUAUUUUGUUGGUUUUCGGAUCCGAAGUAAUGGUUAAGAGGGACAGACGGGGGCAUUUGUAUGGCGGUGUUAGAGGUGAAAUUCUUGGAUCGCCGCCAGACAAACUACAGCGAAAGCAUUUGCCAAGGAUGUUUUCAUUGAUCUGGAGCGAAAGUCAGAGGUUCGAAGACGAUCAGAUACCGUCCUAGUUCUGACCAUAAACGAUGCCAACUGACGAUCCGUGGAUGUUCUUUAAUGACCCCACGGGCAGUCCCCGGGAAACCUUUAAGUCUUUGGGCUCCGGGGGAAGUAUGGUUGCAAAGCUGAAACUUAAAGGAAUUGACGGAAGGGCACCACCAGGAGUGGAGCCUGCGGCUUAAUU